rnacentral:rRNA from 1 species
UACGUAGGGGGCGAGCGUUGUCCGGAUUUAUUGGGCGUAAAGAGCUCGUAGGCGGUUUUGCAAGUCGGGUGUGAAAACUCCGGGCUCAACUCGGAGACGCCACUCGAUACUGCUAUGACUCGAGUCCGGUAGGGGAGUGCGGAAUUCCUGGUGUAGCGGUGAAAUGCGCAGAUAUCAGGAGGAACACCGGUGGCGAAGGCGGCACUCUGGGCCGGUACUGACGCUGAGGAGCGAAAGCGUGGGGAGCGAACAGG